CCUACGGGUGGCUGCAGUGAGGAAUAUUGGUCAAUGGCCGAGAGGCUGAACCAGCCAAGUCGCGUGAGGGAAGACGGCCCUACGGGUUGUAAACCUCUUUUGUCGGGGAGCAAAGAGAGUCACGUGUGACUCAUUGAGAGUACCCGGAGAAAAAGGAUCGGCUAACUCCGCGCCAGCAGCCGCGGUAAUACGGAGGAAGGGAGCGUUAUCCGGAUUUAGUGGGUUUAAAGGGGGUGCAGGCGGAAUAUCAAGUCAGCGGUAAAAAUUCGGGGCUCAACCCCGUCGUGCCGUUGAAACUGAGGUUCUUGAGUGGGCGAGAAGGAUGCGGAAUGCGUGGUGUAGCGGUGAAAUGCAUAGAUAUCACGCAGAACUCCGAUUGCGAAGGCAGCAUACCGGCGCCCAACUGACGCUGAAGCACGAAAGCGUGGGUAUCGAACAGGAUUAGAUACCCCGGUAGUC
rnacentral:rRNA from 1 species